rnacentral:rRNA from 1 species
UAAGGGCGCACGGUGGAUGCCUUGGCACUAGAAGCCGAUGAAGGACGUUACUAACGACGAUAUGCUUUGGGGAGCUGUAAGUAAGCUUUGAUCCAGAGAUUUCCGAAUGGGGAAACCCAGCAUGAGUUAUGUCAUGUUAUCGAUAUGUGAAUACAUAGCAUAUCAGAAGGCACACCCGGAGAACUGAAACAUCUUAGUACCCGGAGGAAGAGAAAGAAAAUUCGAUUCCCUUAGUAGCGGCGAGCGAAACGGGAAGAGCCCAAACCAACAAGCUUGCUUGUUGGGGUUGUAGGACACUCUAUACGGAGUUACAAAGGACGACAUUAGACGAAUCAUCUGGAAAGAUGAAUCAAAGAAGGUAAUAAUCCUGUAGUCGAAAAUGUUGUCUCUCUUGAGUGGAUCCUGAGUACGACGGAGCACGUGAAAUUCCGUCGGAAUCUGGGAGGACCAUCUCCUAAGGCUAAAUACUCUCUAGUGACCGAUAGUGAACCAGUACCGUGAGGGAAAGGUGAAAAGCACCCCGGAAGGGGAGUGAAAUAGAACCUGAAACCGUGUGCUUACAAGUAGUCAGAGCCCGUUAAUGGGUGAUGGCGUGCCUUUUGUAGAAUGAACCGGCGAGUUACGAUUUGAUGCAAGGUUAAGCAGUAAAUGUGGAGCCGUAGCGAAAGCGAGUCUGAAUAGGGCGUUUAGUAUUUGGUCGUAGACCCGAAACCAGGUGAUCUACCCUUGGUCAGGUUGAAGUUCAGGUAACACUGAAUGGAGGACCGAACCGACUUACGUUGAAAAGUGAGCGGAUGAACUGAGGGUAGCGGAGAAAUUCCAAUCGAACCUGGAGAUAGCUGGUUCUCUCCGAAAUAGCUUUAGGGCUAGCCUCAAGUGAUGAUUAUUGGAGGUAGAGCACUGUUUGGACGAGGGGCCCCUCUCGGGUUACCGAAUUCAGACAAACUCCGAAUGCCAAUUAAUUUAACUUGGGAGUCAGAACAUGGGUGAUAAGGUCCGUGUUCGAAAGGGAAACAGCCCAGACCACCAGCUAAGGUCCCAAAAUAUAUGUUAAGUGGAAAAGGAUGUGGCGUUGCCCAGACAACUAGGAUGUUGGCUUAGAAGCAGCCAUCAUUUAAAGAGUGCGUAAUAGCUCACUAGUCGAGUGACACUGCGCCGAAAAUGUACCGGGGCUAAACAUAUUACCGAAGCUGUGGAUUGUCCUUUGGACAAUGGUAGGAGAGCGUUCUAAGGGCGUUGAAGCAUGAUCGUAAGGACAUGUGGAGCGCUUAGAAGUGAGAAUGCCGGUGUGAGUAGCGAAAGACGGGUGAGAAUCCCGUCCACCGAUUGACUAAGGUUUCCAGAGGAAGGCUCGUCCGCUCUGGGUUAGUCGGGUCCUAAGCUGAGGCCGACAGGCGUAGGCGAUGGAUAACAGGUUGAUAUUCCUGUACCACCUAUAAUCGUUUUAAUCGAUGGGGGGACGCAGUAGGAUAGGCGAAGCGUGCGAUUGGAUUGCACGUCUAAGCAGUAAGGCUGAGUAUUAGGCAAAUCCGGUACUCAUUAAGGCUGAGCUGUGAUGGGGAGAAGACAUUGUGUCUUCGAGUCGUUGAUUUCACACUGCCGAGAAAAGCCUCUAGAUAGAAAAUAGGUGCCCGUACCGCAAACCGACACAGGUAGUCAAGAUGAGAAUUCUAAGGUGAGCGAGCGAACUCUCGUUAAGGAACUCGGCAAAAUGACCCCGUAACUUCGGGAGAAGGGGUGCUCUUUAGGGUUAACGCCCAGAAGAGCCGCAGUGAAUAGGCCCAAGCGACUGUUUAUCAAAAACACAGGUCUCUGCUAAACCGUAAGGUGAUGUAUAGGGGCUGACGCCUGCCCGGUGCUGGAAGGUUAAGAGGAGUGGUUAGCUUCUGCGAAGCUACGAAUCGAAGCCCCAGUAAACGGCGGCCGUAACUAUAACGGUCCUAAGGUAGCGAAAUUCCUUGUCGGGUAAGUUCCGACCCGCACGAAAGGCGUAACGAUUUGGGCACUGUCUCAACGAGAGACUCGGUGAAAUCAUAGUACCUGUGAAGAUGC